rnacentral:rRNA from 1 species
GAACGCGAAGAACCUUACCAAGUCUUGACAUCCUUUGACCACUCUAGAGAUAGAGCUUUCCCUUCGGGGACAAAGUGACAGGUGGUGCAUGGUUGUCGUCAGCUCGUGUCGUGAGAUGUUGGGUUAAGUCCCGCAACGAGCGCAACCCUUAUUACUAGUUGCCAGCAUUGAGUUGGGCACUCUAGUGAGACUGCCGGUGACAAACCGGAGGAAGGUGGGGAUGACGUCAAAUCAUCAUGCCCCUUAUGACCUGGGCUACACACGUGCUACAAUGGAUGGUACAACGAGUCGCAAGCCGGUGACGGCAAGCUAAUCUCUUAAAGCCAGUCUCAGUUCGGAUUGUAGGCUGCAACUCGCCUACAUGAAGCCGGAAUCGCUAGUAAUCGCGGAUCAGCACGCCGCGGUGAAUACGUUCCCGGGUCUUGUACACACC